CCAACGAUUGUGCUGGAGAGCCUCUGGCCACAAGUCACAGAAAAAGAGAAUGUCAUAAUCAACUGGAACAACAUGAGGUGGUAGAGACAGAAGAAGUGCCCUUGACGAGGAAACCAUGGCAGCCAUAUAUAUGUCAAGAAGAGAUUUCCAAAUGUGUCCAAAGAGGCUUUGAGGAUUUGAACUGGGGAAACUGAGACUUCUUGAAAGCAAAAAAGUUAUAUUUGUUUGAAUAUUGUAAUUUUUUGAACAUUGUAAAGUAUGUUCCUUGCUGAUUUUUUUUAUUCAAAUGUUCAUGUGUUAUAGACAACAAAUAAAAGUUUUUCAAAUGUGACAUGUGAAUGUAUUUUCUUGGGUUGAAAUAUAUGUAGGGCAAAAUAUAUUUUUAAAAGCUUUUGUAAAAUAUAUUUUGAAAAUAUAUUUUUUUUAAAAUAUACAAAA